GGAUGUGAGGGUGACCUAGCUGCGACGUAGGUGUCCCCCUUUCUCUCUCACUGCUCCAUGUGCAUCCCCCAAAAAGCUCCGUGGUCAGUAGAAGAGGACAGCCUUCCCUGAACUGAGACAGACCGGUCUUCACUCGAGGGUGUAUUGGUAGCUGUGCUCCCCUGCUAGAACCUCCAAACAAGCUCUCAAGGACAAAAGGUGGGGCAAAGGAACUAAAUGGUCUUCUAAAGAAGAUAUACACAUGGUCUAUAGAUGCAU
rnacentral:snRNA from 1 species